CGGACGGGUGAGUAACGCGUAAGAAUCUAACUUCAGGACGGGGACAACAGUUGGAAACGACUGCUAAUACCCGAUGUGCCGAAAGGUGAAACCUAAUUGGCCUGAAGAAGAGCCUGCGUCUGAUUAGCUAGUUGGUGGGGUAAGAGCCUACCAAGGCGACGAUCAGUAGCUGGUCUGAGAGGAUGAGCAGCCACACUGGGACUGAGACACGGCCCAGACUCCUACGGGAGGCAGCAGUGGGGAAUUUUCCGCAAUGGGCGAAAGCCUGACGGAGCAACGCCGCGUGAGGGAGGAAGGUCUUUGGAUUGUAAACCUCUUUUCUCAAGGAAGAAGUUCUGACGGUACUUGAGGAAUCAGCCUCGGCUAACUCCGUGCCAGCAGCCGCGGUAAUACGGGGGAGGCAAGCGUUAUCCGGAAUUAUUGGGCGUAAAGCGUCCGCAGGUGGUCAGCCAAGUCUGCCGUCAAAUCAGGUUGCUUAACGACCUAAAGGCGGUGGAAACUGGCAGACUAGAGAGCAGUAGGGGUAGCAGGAAUUCCCAGUGUAGCGGUGAAAUGCGUAGAGAUUGGGAAGAACAUCGGUGGCGAAAGCGUGCUACUGGGCUGUAUCUGACACUCAGGGACGAAAGCUAGGGGAGCGAAAGGGAUUAGAUACCCCUGUAGUC
rnacentral:rRNA from 1 species